GAAUGACCCCAGUCAAAAUCCCCUCUGCUUGGAUCUCCAAGAGAAAUUUCCACCCAUCCUUUAGUCUUCAUUUCCCUAUCUGUUGUCCCUAUAUGAGAAACCAGGCCAUUGGGAUCCCUCAAGAGUUAACCGCUGGGAAAGCCUGCUCUCUGUUGACUUUGUGGUUUCUCCCACCCCAACCAAACCAGAGGAAAGUGGACAUUACACAUGUGUGCAGCCUCUCCAGGUCCAGCACAUUCGUAGUUGCAGUACCACCAGCAGAAUUCCUCUCCUUUUUGAAGGGAGAAAACAUACUGCUUUGCCUUUGUGCCCCAGGAAGAGCAGUACUGUAUUCAACGUGCUCCAAGUCAAAAGUUCAGCAGAGUCAAAAUCAGAUCGGCUGAAUGCAGAUGAGAUGAGAACACAAACACCAUGGCACAAUUUGUACCCCAACAACAGAUGCCCUGUGAUGGGAUAGCAAGUUUGGGUUUUGUUUUUGUUUUGUUAUUUCUUCAGUGUUUGAUGCAAGAACUUUGCUGCUGAAAGUGAAGAGCAUCACAGACAGAUGCUUCUUGAUACCUUUUGACAGUGGAGUCCUGCAGCUCAUGAUUGGGAUCUGAGAGGGAGCCACCAGCCUGAGUCUCUUGGAACAAGACAGAACUAGUCUAGGCAACAUUGACAGAGGAGUUGAAAAGUAAAAAGCUAAUCCUGCAGGCAUGACUCAUUCUGGCAUCAGAUUUGCAGAGCAGGAUGAGAAGUUCAGGUAAAACAAAGGGAAGUGGAGGCCAUAGUAAAACUCUGUGGUUUGGAGCAUGACAGUUUAACUGCAACAAAGUCCAAGCUGGAAACCCCCUCCCAACAAAUUGCUGUGCUCAGAACCUUGGCAAUGUCAAGAGUAAGUCAACAUCCCAGCGGAAAACAGAGACUCUUUCCCAUGGGAGCUGUAGAUUGGAUUGUUAGUUACCAUAGGACUGGAAAAGUUGUUGUUGUUGUUAUUAUUAUUAUUUUAAUUAAACAUAAAUAAAGCAAUGGAUGUCCCUUUAAA